rnacentral:misc_RNA from 1 species
AUCGCAUCGUCCCCCUUCUCCCUCGUGUGUAUCGCCCCCCUCCCUUUUCUCCAAUUUCGGAUUUUCCCCUGCUAAAUCUCAUCAAUUUUACCGUCCAAUUCUCUUCUACAAAACCCCCCAUCAAGCUCCCAAUUUCCCUCAUAGCCAUACAGACAAAAUUACAAUAUUUUCUUGAAAAAUCUGGCAAUGGCUUCUUUCAGUGUCCCUUGUCCUAAGAUUUCUGUCCUCUCUGUUGCUUCAUCAUCCAAUUUAAGCUCGACCCAUCAGCCCCAGAGCUCCCUUUCCUUCAGAUCCGGUCCUGCAUUGCUCCCUCGUAUUCAGGGGUCCAGUCGCAUCCAAUCUCAGGUGUUUAAGGUGAAUGCCCAGCUGAAUGAGGUUGCUAUUGACAAGUCGAACAAUUCAAAACCUGUCUCUGAGAAAAGCUUGGAGGAAGUCUCCAAGACUGAAUACAGUAUUCCAGAUGCUUCAUCCAUUCAAGCAUUCAUGUCUCAGGCAGCUGAUCUUGUGGAGCUUGUGGAUUCAAGGGACAUUGUGGAGCUGCAGCUAAAGCAAAACAAUUGUGAAAUUCUUAUAAGGAAGAAGGCGGCAUUGCCCCAGCCGCCUGUUUAUAUGGCCUCACCAUCUGUUCCACAGGCCUUUGUUCAGCAACAGUUGCCUCCUGCAAGUGCCCCUGCUCCUGCAGCUCCAGCAGUUGCUGCACUUCCUCCACCUGCACCUUCAAAGCCUAAAUCCUCACAUCCUCCAAUGAAAUGUCCCAUGGCCGGAACAUUCUAUCGAUCACCUGCCCCAGGGGCAGCACCUUUUGUUAAGGUAGGUGACAAGGUCCAGAAAGGGCAAGUGGUCUGCAUUAUUGAGGCUAUGAAAUUGAUGAAUGAAAUUGAGGCUGAUCAAGCUGGAACCAUAGUUGACAUAGUUGCAGAGGAUGGUAAGCCCGUUAGUGUGGACACGCCUCUAUUUGUCAUUGAACCAUGAUAGAAAGAAGUAAUCUUGGUGUGCAACAUAGGUGGAUGAAGCAGAGUGAAAUUCAAAAGUUAUAGAGAGCAAAUCUGUCUUAAGCUCAAGGCAUAUCUGCUCAGAAGAUUGGUUCACUAUUACUCUUGUUGAAAUCUAUGAUCAUAUUUAUAGCUUGUAUUACUCAUUUUCCUUAUGCUGCUCAUAAAUUUUGGAACUAUAUUUUCUUUAUAA